UACGUAGGGGGCAAGCGUUGUCCGGAAUCAUUGGGCGUAAAGCGCGUGUAGGCGGUUCAGUAAGUCUGCUGUGAAAGUCCAGGGCUCAACCCUGGGAUGCCGGUGGAUACUGUCGGACUAGAGUACGGAAGAGGCGAGUGGAAUUCCCGGUGUAGCGGUGAAAUGCGCAGAUAUCGGGAGGAACACCAAUUGCGAAGGCAGCUCGCUGGGACGUCACUGACGCUGAGACGCGAAAGCGUGGGGAGCAAACAGG
rnacentral:rRNA from 1 species